GUGAAAUAUGACCAGCAAGGGGCUGGAAAUCAUGGUACUUCAUUUUAGUGUUUCUGUUAAGACAGAUUCGGAUUUUUUGUUGCCUUCGCUUCCAAAUUCCUGGUACUUUUGGCCUGGAUAUAAAUUUGGAUUGCUUUUUUCAUAAGGAGGAGUACUUGUAAGCUCAUCGAUCGUUUGUAGUGACAGUUUUGUAAGGCUGUUGUUUUCAUGUGCAUGUUAAAAAUGGAUCGACUGAGAGGCACAGGGGAAGUCAGAUAUAGUUCUAGGCGGGAUAUGAAGUGGCAUGUAAAGGUGGAGCGGCUGAUCGGAGGUCCUGGUCCUCUAAAUCCUUAAAAAGACUGUGCCAAAAAAGACUUGCUCAGAUGACAUCACAUUUGGACUACUAAAGUUCUCCACCCACUCUGCAAGGCACAAAGCAUUUCUAGGUAAUUAAACAAAUGCAGAGUGAAACCCAUUCUUUCAUUUGCAAAAAAUCUUCUGGAAAAUUACUUGGAUGUUUUAUAUUGAAUGUCAGUGAAACUAGGUAGUUCUACUGGAGGAAAGCCUGAAGGAUCCACUGUCAGACACCAGAAUUUAAAAAAUUCAGAAUUUAAUGCUUUUCUGCAGAAGAGGAGAGCAGCUAACUCCACAUUGUGCUUCAAAGGAGCCAGGUUUCACCUCUAAACCUCACACUUUAAGAAGUUCUAAAGUGUAAAAGACUGUCUGGAUCAUGGAGUUGCUGCCACAUCCCUUGUGUUAACACUGCAAGUUCCACUGGAUUUGGCACUCUCAGAAACAAACAGAUCUUCCCUUCUCAGAAACUGUG
rnacentral:lncRNA from 14 species